rnacentral:rRNA from 1 species
AUACGGAGGGUCCGAGCGUUAAUCGGAAUUACUGGGCGUAAAGCGCGCGUAGGUGGAUGUAUAAGUCAGAUGUGAAAGCCCUGGGCUCAACCUAGGAACUGCAUUUGAAACUGUACGUCUAGAGUAUGGUAGGGGUGAGUGGAAUUUCAGGUGUAGCGGUGAAAUGCGUAGAGAUCUGAAGGAACAUCAGUGGCGAAGGCGACUCACUGGGCCAUUACUGACACUGAGGUGCGAAAGCGUGGGUAGCAAACAGGAUUAGAAACCCUAGUAGUCC